GGACACAUAGCUCAAUCGGCAGAGCGCCCGGCUGUUAACCGGGAGGUUGUGGGUUCGAUCUACGCUCCGCUCCG
rnacentral:tRNA from 2 species